CACAUCCUAUAUGACACAAAUUAGUGCUGAAAUUAUAAUCUCAAAAUUAUGAUACCGGAAUAUAGGGAUGCAUAUCGGUGAGUUCAAUUUAUUAAUUUUUGAUUUAUAAACAUAGUACUAAAUCGUUAAUCAAAUUAAUAAAAUAUUCAUUAUCGAUUUUAAUCUUUUGCGGCUCAGUUUUCGAUUUAACCGAUAAGAAAAUGUUCCUCUAAAUUUUUUUGUUUUCUCUUAUUUUUGUUUGAUCUAUAUACUAUCUUCAUGCAUAAAGUCUACACAAUUUACAAGCACUAAGAUCAUAAUUAUAAAAUGCAAAAAGUAUUAGAGUAUGCAUUUAAAACCUGAAGCCACUAUUAUAUACUUAUGGAUAAAACUAUAAUUUUAAUAUAAACUUAUUGGAUUAACGGUGUAACCAUUAACUAAAACCUUAAAAGCGAAAAUUGAACCGAUAGCCCAAUAAAUUUUUCUAGAUAAUCCUUUAAAAAAUGUUAAUCCGAUAUUGAUAAAUCAAUUACAUUUUUAUUGGUUUGAUUUAUUUAUUGAAUCAAUUUUUACACAUCUUUACCAAAAUAAUUUAUUCAACGUACCAAACGAAAUGAAAUCUGGGCAGUUCUUUUUAUCAUUUAAUGAUAAAUAUGACUCAUGAUGCUUUUAGUGUAAGUUGUUCCUUGCUUUAAAUAUUUUAUUAUCAUCCAGCAAACUUGCUGAGGUACAAAACUAUAAUCAAACUGUUAAUUCUUUAUAUAAUUUAAACUUUUAUUAAUUACAAUCUUUGUAUUAGACUGGUAGGGCUACAAUACACCAAAAAAUCACAUUAUGACAAAAAUUUUCAAUUUUAAUAGAACAAGAGUAAAUGUGAUUAUACAAUCUGCUAAUUCUUUAGCAUAAUAUUAAACUUGUUUCUGAUUGCAGGGUUUAUACUUGAUUUUUGAUUAUCCAAUCUGCUAAUUCUUUAGUAUAAUAUUAAACUUAUUUCUGAUUGCAGGGUUUAUACUUGAUUAAUUAAGAUGCAUCAAAAAAUAAUCAUCGAAAGACAAAAAAUCUUAAAUUCUAAUAAUACAAGAGUAAAUUAGGCCUUUUUUUUUUUUCUUGAAUUAAAGUCAUUAAAAAAUUCUAAAACUUGUACUUUGCUUGUGUGUAAAGUACCUGCAUGUCUAUUCUAAUUAAAUGGAUUUAUUUAAUUAAAAUUAUUUUAAAAUGCAGUUCAUUGUGUAGUUCAAGAGUGGGA
rnacentral:lncRNA from 1 species